UCCGUUGGUGAACCAGCGGAGGGAUCAUUACAGAGUUGCAAAACUCCCUAAACCAUUGUGAACGUUACCUAAACCGUUGCUUCGGCGGGCGGCCCCGGGGUUCUCCCCGGGCGCCCCUGGGCCCCAUCGCGGGCGCCCGCCGGAGGUCACCAAACUCUUGGUAAUUUAUGGCCUCUCUGAGUCUUCUGUACUGAAUAAGUCAAAACUUUCAACAACGGAUCUCUUGGUUCUGGCAUCGAUGAAGAACGCAGCGAAAAAAUUGACGAAUUAAAAGUUAAAAUUGGUUGGAAAAUUUUUGGCCMAAGGRAAAAACUUUUGCCMAAGGGUGAAUCAUCGAAUCUUUGAACGCACAUUGCGCCCGCCAGUAUUCUGGCGGGCAUGCCUGUUCGAGCGUCAUUUCAACCAUCAAGCCCCCGGCUUGUGUUGGGGACCUGCGGCUGCCGCAGGCCCUGAAAAGCAGUGGCGGGCUCGCUGUCACACCGAGCGUAGUAGCAUACAUCUCGCUCUGGGCGUGCUGCGGGUUCCGGCCGUAAAACCACCUUCAUAACCCAAGGUUGACCUCGGAUCAGGUAGGAAGACCCGCUGAACUUAAGCAUAUCAAUAAGCGGAGGA
rnacentral:rRNA from 1 species